GCUUCAGUUUUAAUUUGACUUGAUUUCGGCAUCGGUGGAGUCGCCAUCUUGGUCUUGGGGUGUUUGCGUGAUCCCGGAGUUACCGCUGACAUCGUGGCGUUCCUCGCUUGCGACGACGUGCCUGUUCGCGUCCAAAACAAAAAAGGUGUGAAGAAGAGAUUGAUUCUUGUGUUUUCUUUUUGGUUUAGUUUAAUCGACCCAGACAUUUCCCGGUUAAGGUCUCGGGAUUCAAAUUCACCCCAGGCCCCCGUCCUAGAUAUCAUACGACAAACUACUUUUGUAUUUUGUCUUUUAUUCCACCGUCAUGUAAGUAAUGUCGCAGGUGAAAGUCACAACCUGGGGUUUUUGGCCCGGAUGAUUUCCUGUUUGUUCUCCUCUAUGAGGAGCGUGCGGGAAUAAACAAAAAUAAAAAUAACCUCCCAUGUCUGAACAGUUACCGUGAAAAAAAAAAAAAAAACUUCUUAAAGAGGCUGAACAGCAGACGUCAUGGAAAGGACGUCAUGUGGAGCCAAGUGAGAUCUGUGAGAUUGUUGCCUCAUUCCUUCCCCCGGAAAAUGAAACGUGACAAAGAAAAAAAAAGAUCAUGAAGUCAUGAAGCAAAAACUCUGAGAACGCACGCCACACCCUGCGUUCUUGUUCCGAUGACAAAGAGCGCCGGCGGCCUCGGUGUAAGUCAAAGGUCACCUGGAACCACAGAAUACAAUGUCAUUCGCCGCAGCGCGGUGACCAUUGACCUACGGGAGGUGUGGAAACCGAAACAGGGGUGGCGAGGGACAACUUUGUCCAGUGACCAGUGCAGCAUUGAGGCACCACUAGCCAGGUGACACUCGCUCCUUCUCGUCUCGGUGUGCGUGCUGCCGAGGCGCGGCGGCGUCACCCGCUGGUCACUGGACUUCCCUUUUAACCCUCAGACCUCGGCAUCCAGACAGAUGCCAUCUUGUCUUUGGAAUGUUUUCAUAGUCGUCUGAAGCUUUUCACCUUUUGUUUGCGGUUUCCGAUGUGCAUCCAAUAGGACGCGUGUCACUGAUCCCCGGACCGGGUUCAGGUGGAGUCCAGCGGGGGCCACCGCGGCGAGCGGGACAACGUGGUCGGAUCGCCAGACGGCCUCUGUGCACACGCGCUUCAAAGAGGGGCUCCGGUGCGGAUAUCGAACGACGCGGGAGGCGACGACUUGAACCAGCCAGCUGAUAGAGUGUUACACUGUUUUGGUGAUAAGAGUUUGCAUUCAGCAGCUUCCCCUCCACCUUUGAUCCAGAUCGAUGGCCCCCGAGGAGGCAGCGUGAGGCCGAGUGAACGGCCCCCGACUUUAACGCGAUUCCCUCCACGUGCCCCUGCACACGUUUUAUUCAGGAAGCUCUAUUGAUGGAGCAGCUUGUCAACACGUGAACAGAAGCUUUUGGAGGCUGAGGAUCACGCGUUUUAACAGAAUGAUACAACAGUUAAUGGGAGACGGAACACUUUUUUAAUAUUAUAAGGACUAUCGUUAUUUAAUACACCUUCAAACAAGGGCUUAGACCAAAAGACUGUAACUGGAAAAACAGUAAGAACAACAGGUGUGUAGCAGUGAUAUUAAACGUAAUAAUAACAGUGAUAAGUCAAAUUAAAUUAUAUAUAUAUAUACAUAUUCAACAGCCCUAUUUAUUAUAACUUCAAAUAAGGUUUUUUGUAAACCGCAGCGAUGCUGCAGAGGCCGAAAUCCUGCAUUUGUCAUGUUAGCAGACUAAGCUUAGCACAGUUUGCAGGGUCAGAUGUUAACGGAUCCAGAACAAGUGGAAAACUUUACCGGUGUCAUAAACGCACCAUCGGGGAGCAAAAUGACUAAAAAGGGAGACUUUUGAGAUCUUCUUUCGUCACUGAGGGAAACUUUUAGUUACAAGAAUAUAAAUCGUGACAAGUUGGUGACACGAUGCCCAGCGCAUAUAUAUAUUGGACCACACAUACAGGCGAUGAUCUCUGGCUGUUGAACACGUGGCCGCAGCACAGAGCGAUCCUGCUUUGUCCACAGCACAUGAACCAACUGAACUCAGGAGGUGACGACCAAAGAGCGAAAUGUCCGAUCAGAGCAAACAGCUCUUUUUUCUUUUUUUUUCACAACACGAGGGACCGUUUUCACUGGCAACUAAUUAUGCUUCUGCUUAAACUAAAUUUGAAUUUUUUUUGUUCCUCUAGAAGAAGCUCAAAGCUAAAAAGGUCUUCACUGAAAACAUUUAGAUGGUCGACACUAACAACUACUGAACUUUGCCCCAGUAAGUGUCCUCUUAAAUGGAGAGAGAGAGGGGGGGGAGAGAGACACAGAGCAGUGGUGAGUCAGAGAGGACAGAAGAAGACCACUGGAACAAGGAUCUCCCACUCAAAUCCGGCGAAUAAGUGUAGGUUUUGGAAAUGACGGCACGCUACAGAAUUUGAAUAAUCUUCUUUCAGCUCCUCUGCAGAAGGCACCUGAAGUUCGUCUCCACAACUGAAGGAUUCUUGUCUACAUUUCGAGCCCAGGCCCGUUUGGCCCCGGUUGGUUCAUUUAGUCCAAACGCAGAUUUAAAAAGGAGGAAAAAGACCUUUCCCGGCAUUGGUGCUUAAAUGCUGAACGUUUUGGUUUGUUUUGAAGGAUUCUUUAACGGGACCUCGGUCUCCCCCUACUGGAGAACUGAUGAAACCACAGGGACCGUCCCGGCUGCAGCGUUCACGUCCCACAGAAUGAACCGGGACGGACUCCGACACUCUCCUGAUCUCCUUUAACCUUCUCUAAUGUAAUGCGUUGACUUGCAGGUGCCUUAGUGCCACCAGGCGUCGCGGGGACUCGGGACAUCGAGGGGGGGGGGGGGGGGGGAUGGAAGGCAGCGGCGGGUCAGAGCCUGCGCCUCCCGCCCGCGAGGACAUCGGCUGCGCCGGGGCCUCUGCUCUCCUCGGGCCCCCUGGACAAGUGGCACCACCAGGCGGACUCCGUCCUCACGGCGGCCCGGCUCGCUCGCAGAGGAUGGACGGAGGAGGGGACGAAGAUGGCAUGGGGGCCGGACCCCUCGCGUCGACCCCCCGCCUCCGGGUCAGAUGGGAAUCGGGCCUCGGAACGUGGCGCCGUUGGCCCGAAGGAACCCGGGGGCGGACGGGUUCGGGACGCGGAGACGGAAGCCUCGUUCUCGGCGGACAGACGCGCCGAGGGACAGACGGGCCUCCGCGUUGUGGUGUCCGUCCGCCGCGCCGCAUGCAGACAGCCGAGGAGGUUCAAGGCGCCGAGACUACCGGUCAUCGCUGAGAUGUAGACCGACGCCGCCGUCUCCUCCAGAGGGGACACAAAUGUCUUCCUUAUGAUAAGU
ensembl:lncRNA